rnacentral:rRNA from 1 species
AUCUAUUGACAAUGGAUCUCUUGGUUCUCACAAAGAUGAACGUUGAAAAAUAUGUAGUAUGAAUUUUUAGAAAAUGUGAAUCUUCGAUAUGCAUAAUGCACUUUUUAGUUUACUAAAAAAAAGUAUGCCUGCUUCUGUAUUA